UGGGGUUUGCCAUGAUGCGAUAUCGGCCGCGGAUCUAUCGACUAUCAUCCUGCGGUCAUUGGGAGUUGUGGCAGAAAGGGCAACGCAUCGCUUGAUUUUGAAAAGAGGUCAAUACACUUUUUCCAUCAUUAAUAUCAGUGCAGGAUUUGAGAUGCCAUGAUGAUUUCGAGCGGAAUGGCUUCCUGCAUGUCCUUUCGGGUUGCAAGGUGGUGCCAUAUGGUGACGCAUUGGUCGUUAGAUGAG
rnacentral:lncRNA from 1 species